UACGGAGGGUGCGAGCGUUAUUCGGAAUCACUGGGCGUAAAGCGCGCGUAGGCGGGUUGACAAGUCAGGUGUGAAAUCCCACGGCUCAACCGUGGAAUUGCACUUGUGACUGGCGGGCUCGAGUACGGUAGAGGGGGGUGGAAUUCCUGGUGUAGCAGUGAAAUGCGUAGAGAUCUGGAGGAAUACCGGUGGCGAAGGCGGCCCCCUGGACAAAGACUGACGCUCAGGCACGAAAGCGUGGGGAGCAAACAGG
rnacentral:rRNA from 1 species